rnacentral:pre_miRNA from 1 species
UAAUCUCAGCUGGCAACUGUGAGAUGUUCAUACAAUCCCUCACAGUGGUCUCUGGGAUUACG